GGAGGGCAAAGCGGAGAGAUUCCCACACAGAGGAUCAGUGCCGACCAGCACCCACCAGCCUGAGAGCCCAGUGAAGCCAUUUUACAGAGAAGCAAAUCAAUGCUGGGAAAGACCAACACCUUUACCCAAGAUCCACUGAAAGAGGCAGACCUGGACUCAACUGCAUGGCCACCUGUCACCCAAGUCCAAGCAUUAGCAUCACACCACGCUGCUUAUGGAAGCAGUAUGAGACACAGUUCCAACCCCUCCAGUAGCUAACAGGUCUCUGGGAGACAGGAUCAGCAUGAACAGAUUCAGAGGAGGAACAGAGAUAAUGUGUGUUGAAACUUGAUUCUAUGGGAUUUUCAUCAGAACUCAGAGGUUGGCACUUACUGCACGGACCUACUGUAUGAAGCAGGUGGAUUGGCCAGCACAAGGGGUCGCCGUGGUGCAUCGCCCAAAUUCCCCUUCUGGACCCAAGCCACGCGGCAUGUGUGAUACUAGUUCCCCGACCAGGGAUUGAACCUGAGUCCCCUGCAUUGGAAACUUGGAGUCUUAACCACUGGACCGCGAGGGAAGUCCCUGUAUCAUAUUUUAGAUUUCACAUGUAAGUGAUGUCAUAUGAUAUUUGUCUUUCUCUUUCUGACUUACUUCACAUAGUAUGAUAAUCUCUAGGUCCAUCCAUGUUUCUGCAAAUGGCAUUAUUUCAUCCUUUUUUAUGGCUGAUACUCUUGCCUUCUUUGUUCCGCUCUCCAAGAGCUAGGCAUUCUUGGGCAAUAGUCAGGGGAUAGAAGAGGCAAAAUUAUUGAAUAAAAAUUGUCAAUACUCCCACUGCCUCUGUCAUUUAUCCGAAUUCAAAACUUGGGGCAGAAUGCCCUGGUCUUAAUUUAACUUUACUCUUAACAGAAAUGAGCCCAAGACAGGGAGAGACAGGAAGCCCUCUCCAAGAGUAAAGAAGGGUAAUGACUUUUUCUUAUAAAGGGACAGAGGGCUAUUGGUGAUCCAGGCCUAGACUUGGGCCAACCAAUGUUAGAAAAUUUAUGGGCAAUGAAAAACCGGAAACAUGUAUCAAAGCCCUAAGAAGGCCUUCUCAUGCCCCAGGGGAAUCAGAUCCUGGUUUGAAGACCACACAUCUUGGUCAUAGUGGAGCUGGUGAAGUGAUAUUGCCUCUUCACUCUACCAGAUCCAGAAAGAAUUGGAGGUAAAUCCCUCGGCCAGAAAAGGGAGGGACUGUGAC